CCUACGGGUUGCAGCAGUAGGGAAUCUUCCGCAAUGGACGAAAGUCUGACGGAGCAACGCCGCGUGAGUGAUGAAGGCUUUCGGGUCGUAAAACUCUGUUGUUAGGGAAGAACAAGUGCCAGUUGAAUAAGCUGGCACCUUGACGGUACCUAACCAGAAAGCCACGGCUAACUACGUGCCAGCAGCCGCGGUAAUACGUAGGUGGCAAGCGUUAUCCGGAAUUAUUGGGCGUUAAGCGCGCGCAGGUGGUUUCUUAAGUCUGAUGUGAAAGCCCACGGCUCAACCGUGGAGGGUCAUUGGAAACUGGGAGACUUGAGUGCAGAAGAGGGAAGUGGAAUUCCAUGUGUAGCGGUGAAAUGCGUAGAGAUGUGGAGGAACACCGGUGGCGAAGGCGACUUUCUGGUCUGUAACUGACACUGAGGCGCGAUAGCGUGGGGAGCAAACAGGAUUAGAUACCCUCGUAGUC
rnacentral:rRNA from 1 species